UGUUGGCUGGAGACUGCAAAUCUAUAACUGAUCUUAAUUAGGAAGAACAGCGAAGAUGUCUACUGGAGCUAUAUUUAUAUGCUUUUGGCUGCAGCUAAACUGGUUCAGUCAAGGAGAGCAAGUGGAUCAGCAUCCUUCUACCCUGAGUGUCCAGGAGGGAAACACAUCUGUCAUCACCUGUUCUUAUUCAGACAGUGCUUCAGACUACUUUCCGUGGUAUAAGCAAGAAGCUGGAAAAGGUCCCCAGUUCAUUAUACACAUUCGUUCAAAUGAGAAUGAAAAGCAGCAUGAAAGACUCACUGUUUCAUUGAAUAAGAUGGCCAGACAUUUCUCCCUGCACAUCGCAGCCACCCAACCUGGCGACUCAGCUGUCUACUUCUGUGCAGCGAGUGCACAUUGCUUCUUAGCACGUACAACCUGUACACAAACCUGUGAGUGGAGCAGCUCCCUCUCCUUUGGGACAGACAUUCAAAAAUAGCACUUGUGAAAUCGUUUGUCUGCAAG